rnacentral:piRNA from 1 species
UGGUCUCGAAGCCGACACUAACCGGCCAGGU